AGCAACUCCCGUCUCUCACUGUUGUUUUCACUAAUUUCAGAAGCGAAAACAACAACAACUCUACGACACAGGAGAAGUUCCUGAUUUUAAAAUUUCUGAAGGGAGCUGCUGACAGAGAUAUAGAAAACACAGAUUGUUUAUGUUGCUAGAUUCUUCCAUGCUGAUGGCCGUGCACUAGAGUUGGAGCGUAUCUCCUGUCGAAGAACAUAUCUAGACAUUAUGAAGCAUAUGACUAGUAAGUAAUACCUCAAACAUACACUACCUAAAGUUUAAGGGUCAGAUUUGUCAUGUGUUUGAAAGAAGUCUUUUAUGCUCACCACUGCUGCAU